rnacentral:lncRNA from 1 species
GAUUUUCCAGUUUUAAAAGACUCCAAAAUUGGUUAGCUUUUCCAGGUACACUUCAAACAAUUCCAAUCCAGUUAGUAUGUGACAGUUGCAUGGAUUACGUAAUUCAAAUUACAACCAUCUUUCAUUUAAUAUGCAGCAACAUCAUCGGCUUUAUCCAAGGGAUUCAAGUCCGCCGAAUCAGAUAUUGUUUGGGACAAAUUUCUUCAUCAAACUCAAAUUGAAAUAGGAGACUUCUGCCGCCCUUAGCCAACCGGGUCCGUAUAGGAGAACAAUUGUGACAACAAUCCCACAUCGAAAAUAUGUUCUCGGCAGCUGCUUUACCAACUCUAUAUAAACCCCAUGCUCCUAUUUAUUGAGCAUCAAUUUAUAGUAUUUGCAAGCCAUAUUUAAUCUAGUUUUGCGGACUUCUUUGCAAGCCACAUUUUGCGAAGGUAACUUCUUCUUCUUUUGUGCUUUCUUCUUAGUUGUCUAUUUUUUUCCUUUUUUUGAAGGUCAAACAAAAAGGAGUGUUCUUGUUUAACGAGAAGAUCCAUACAUGAAGAAGACAAUCUUGGGUGUAAGGGGAUGGGUACUCAUCCUUACCCGAAUAUCGGAGAGAUUACUCUUAUGGCCCAACUAUCAGAGAGAUUAAUCUCAAUGUGGCUCGACUACCGGAGAGAUUACUCUCAAUGUGGCCCGACUAUCGGAGAGAUUACUCUCAAUGUGGCUCGACUACUGGAGAGAUUACUCUUAAAAUGACCCGACUAUCGAAUAGAUUACUCUCAAUGUGCUCUGACUAUCAGAGAGAUUACUCUCAAUAAAAAUUGUAGUUCCUUUAAGUACAAACCACGAAGAGUCCAACUUAAGGUAAAAAGGGACUUACAUGUCCACCUGAUUGGAAAGUUAUAAAACUUCAACUCGAAGACGACAUUGACUUGACGACACUUGGAAUUUGGCUGACUUUGCAGACUUCAACUCGAAGAGUGGUUGACUUUUAAAAUUCAACUUGAAAAAUUAGCAGGCUUGAAGACUUUAACUUGAACAUUUGGAGGGCUUAAACAAUUCAACUUUAAGACCGGCGAAUUUGAAGAUUGAAACUUUAAGAACGACGGACUUGGAGACUUCAACUUGGUGACUUGGAGGGUUUAAAUAUUUUAACUUUAAGACUGGCGAAUUUGAAGACUGAAACUUGAAGACCAAAGGACUUGAAGACUUCAACUUGGAGACUUGGAGGGCUUAAAUAUUUCAACUUGAAAAUUGGCGAACGUGAAAGCCUCAACUUGAAGACCGACGGACUUGACGAUUUCAACUUAGAAACUUCAACUUGAAGACCGACGGACUUGAAGACUUCGAGGGCUUAAAUAUUUCAGCUUCUCUUUUGCUUUACAUUGUCCAACUUUUAUCUUAGUCGCAUAAGUUUCAGCUUUACGCGCUUGUAACAAAAGAUUCAUAUCUUAUCGUGAGAGAGUCCAAAUAACGAACUGUUUGAUUUCUCAAAAAUUAUACUUCAAUAUAUAAAAUAUAUCCAAAACUUAGAAUCAAAGACCUUCAGAAUUGACCCAGAUAAUAUUUUGAAUUCAACUUUAGAUUCCACCACGUAGAAAAUUUCAGAUCUGCGCAGUCUCUCCAAAAAAAUUAUAUCUUGGUGUAGAAACGUUAAAAUUAUAAACCAUUUAAUUUCAUGAAAACUAGACUUCAAAAUUUAAGACAUAUUCAAAAUUCGGAAUCAAACACUUUAAAAAUCGUCCCAG